rnacentral:rRNA from 1 species
AUUGAACGCUGGCGGCAGGCCUAACACAUGCAAGUCGAACGGUAACAGGGAUCAGCUUGCUGAUUCGCUGACGAGUGGCGGACGGGUGAGUAAUGUCUGGGAAACUGCCUGAUGGCGGGGGAUAACUACUGGAAACGGUAGCUAAUACCGCAUAACGUCGCAAGACCAAAGAGGGGGACCUUCGGGCCUCUUGCCAUCGGAUGUGCCCAGAUGGGAUUAGCUAGUAGGUGGGGUAACGGCUCACCUAGGCGACGAUCCCUAGCUGGUCUGAGAGGAUGACCAGCCACACUGGAACUGAGACACGGUCCAGACUCCUACGGGAGGCAGCAGUGGGGAAUAUUGCACAAUGGGCGCAAGCCUGAUGCAGCCAUGCCGCGUGUAUGAAGAAGGCCUUCGGGUUGUAAAGUACUUUCAGCGGGGAGGAAGGGAGUAAAGUUAAUACCUUUGCCCAUUGACGGUACCCGCAGAAGAAGCACCGGCUAACUCCGUG